AGCAGCCGCGGUAAUUCCAGCUCCAAUAGCGUAUAUUAAAGUUGUUGCAGUUAAAAAGCUCGUAGUUGAACUUCGGGGUUCACCCAUUGGUCAGGCUUAAUUGUCUGUACUGGUGAGAUGAGUCUCCACCUUCUGAGGAACUUUCAUGCCAUUUAUUUGGUGUGAUGGGAAAUCAGGACUGUUACUUUGAAAAAAUUAGAGUGUUUAAAGCAGGCUAACGUCUGAAUACAUUAGCAUGGAAUAAUGAAAUAGGACGGAUUGAUUCUAUUUCGUUGGUUUCUAGGGUCACCGUAAUGAUUAAUAGGGAUAGUUGGGGGCAUUAGUAUUCAAUUGUCAGAGGUGAAAUUCUUGGAUUUAUUGAAGACUAACUACUGCGAAAGCAUUUGCCAAGGAUGUUUUCAUUAAUCAAGAACGAAAGUUAGGGGAUCGAAGACGAUCAGAUACCGUCGUAGUCUUAACCAUAAACUAUGCCGACUAGGGAUCGGACGCAGUUAAUUUUAUAAUGACGUGUUCGGCACCU
rnacentral:misc_RNA from 2 species